CAAAGAUUUAUCGGCACGGGAGCGGCCUGUCUCCCAUCAGUUUGUUGGUGAGGUAACGGCUCACCAAGGCAGCGACGGGUAGCGGGACUGAGAGGUUGACCCGCAACAUCGGGACUGAGACACUGCCCGGACCUCCACGGAGGGCUGCAGUAACGAAUAUUGCGCAAUGGGCGAAAGCCUGACGCAGCGACGCCGCGUGUAGGAUGAAGUCCCUCGGGAUGUAAACUACUGUCAGGGGUUAGAAAGUCCGGUUCGCCGGAUUGAUCGGCCCCAGAGGAAGUCACGGCUAACUUCGUGCCAGCAGCCGCGGUAAUACGAAGGUGGCUAGCGUUGUUCGGUGUCACUGGGCUUAAAGCGUGUGUAGGCGGAAAAGAAAGCGUUUUGUGAAAGCCCCCGGCUUAACCGGGGAACUGCAAGACGAACUGCUUUUCUUGAGGCAAGCAGGGGUGCGUGGAACUCUUGGUGGAGCGGUGGAAUGCGUAGAUAUCAAGAGGAACGCCGGUGGUGAAGACGACGCACUGGGCUUGUCCUGACGCUGAGACACGAAAGCGUGGGGAGCGAACGGGAUUAGAUACCCCGGUAGUCCACGCCGUAAACGAUGUCUACUAGGUUGUGGGAGUUCUGACACUUUCACGGCCGAAGCAAAAGUGCUAAGUAGACCGCCUGGGGAGUACGGUCGCAAGGCUAAAACUCAAAGGAAUUGACGGGGGCUCACACAAGCGGUGGAGCAUGUGGAUUAAUUCGAAGCAACGCGCAGAACCUUACCUGGGUUUGACAUGCUUGGAUGGCUGCCUGGGAACAGGUUAGUCUGCCCUUCGGGGUGAAACUUGCACAGGUGCUGCAUGGCUGUCGUCAGCUCGUGUCGUGAGAUGUCGGGUUAAGUCCUUUAACGAGCGAAACCCUUGCCGUUUGUUGCCAGCGGGUAAUGCCGGGUACUCUAACGGGACUGCCGGUGUCAAACCGGAGGAAGGUGGGGACGACGUCAAGUCAUCAUGGCCUUUAUGCCCAGGGCCUCACACGUGCUACAAUGGCGGCGACAAAGCGACGCGAGACCGCGAGGUGGAGCAAAUCGCAAAAACGUCGCACUCAGUUCGAAUUGCAGGCUGGCAAUUCGCCUGCAUGAAGUUGGAAUCGCUAGUAAUCGCGUAUCAGCUAUGACGCGGUGAAUGUGUUCCUG
rnacentral:rRNA from 1 species